CCCUUAGAUGUCCUGGGCCGCACGCGCGCUACACUGAGUGUCUGAGAUACGAGUCUGCCUGGUCCGGCAAGGUCUAGGUAAUCGCUAAAAGACACAUCAUGCUUGGGAUAGAUUAUUGCAAAUAUUAAUCUUGAACGAGGAAUUCCUAGUAAGCGCAAGUCAACAGCUUGCGUUUAUUACGUCCCUGCCCUUUGUACACACCGCCCGUCGCUACUACUGAUUGGAUGUUUAAGCGAGGUUCUCGAACUGCUAGCGACUUAGCUUCGGUGAGGUCGCAGUGUGGGAAGUGAACCGAGCUUUGGUGUCUAGAGGAAGUAAAAGUCGUAACA
rnacentral:rRNA from 1 species